GACGAACGCUGGCGGCGUGCUUAACACAUGCAAGUCGAGCGAUGAAGUUCCUUCGGGAACGGAUUAGCGGCGGACGGGUGAGUAACACGUGGGUAACCUGCCUCAUAGAGGGGAAUAGCCUUCCGAAAGGAAGAUUAAUACCGCAUAAGAUUGUAGUAUCGCAUGAUACAGCAAUUAAAGGAGCAAUCCGCUAUGAGAUGGACCCGCGUCGCAUUAGCUAGUUGGUGAGGUAACGGCUCACCAAGGCGACGAUGCGUAGCCGACCUGAGAGGGUGAUCGGCCACAUUGGGACUGGGACACGGCCCAGACUCCUACGGGAGGCAGCAGUGGGGAAUAUUGCACAAUGGGGGAAACCCUGAUGCAGCAACGCCGCGUGAGUGAUGAAGGUCUUCGGAUUGUAAAACUCUGUCUUCAGGGACGAUAAUGACGGUACCUGAGGAGGAAGCCACGGCUAACUACGUGCCAGCCGCCGCGGUAA
rnacentral:rRNA from 1 species